rnacentral:tRNA from 1 species
CGGGCCGUAGCUCAGUUUGGUAGAGCGCUUGGUUUGGGACCAAGAAGUCGUAGGUUCAAAUCCUAUCGGCCCGA